UGGGAGAUGGCUGAAUGGUUUAGGCACUUGACUGUUAAUCAAGGUAACGCAGGUUCGAACCCUGUUCUCCCAG
rnacentral:tRNA from 1 species